rnacentral:misc_RNA from 1 species
GAAAUGCGAUAAGUAGUGUGAAUUGCAGAAUUCAGUGAAUCAUCGAAUCUUUGAACGCACAUUGCGCCCCUCGGUAUUCCGUGGGGCAUGCCUGUUCGAGCGUCAUUUACACCCUCAAGCUUUGCUUGGUGUUGGGCGUCUGUCCCGCCGUCCUGGCGUGGACUCGCCCCAAAAUUAUUGGCAGCGGUCCUGACCGGCUUCUUGCGCAGCACUUCGCGCUCUGAGGCAUGAGGAGGGCCGCGUCCACAAAGUAGACUCCAAUAUUUGACCUCGGAUCAGGUAGGGAUACCCGCUGAACUUAA